rnacentral:lncRNA from 1 species
GUGCGUGGCGUGUCCGCUGGACCAGGGGACGGGGGCGCGCCGCAGGUGUAGGAGCUUUGCGCGCCUACCUGGCGGUCGUGGGUCGAGGAGGGGUCAAGAAUUGUUGUCUAGCAGCCCUCUCCCCGCUGCCCUGUCCUGGCCGAGGCAAAGGCCGCGUGCGCUCCGCGUCUGCCAGGCUUUAGGGCUGCGCGGACACUGGGUGGGUGGUGGGCCGAGGCGACCGGAAGGUCCUGGCCGCCUUUCCGGUCUCCUCAGCACCCUGGAGCGCCGCCCUCGGGUUUCGGUCUCCUGGAUCUGCGGGUCGGUCUCGGCGGGCGGAUUACUCCUCGCCCACAACCUCGAGGCCCCGGGGUCAACCGCGCCCUCCGGGCCGGCAACCCAGGGUUUAGUCAGAUUCCUCCUGACCCACCGCUUCUGGGAAAGAGGCGCCUCCCGUCAGGAGGAUGCUGAGUUCCUCAUGACUGGACCAGUGAGUGUCCACUCCCUGGUCCCUGGCGAGAGAGGCGGGACCCCCACGCCCUCCUGGCGCUCUUUGCAGAGAUGUUCCUCAGGCCCAAUCCGGGAUUUGGGAUGUCUGUGCGUGCUGUGGAGCAGAGAGUUUGCAACAUGGUCUCACUUUGUCACCCAGGCUGGAAUGCAUUGGCAUGAACACGUCUCACUGCAGCCUCAACCUCCCAGGCUGAAGUGACCCUCCAACUCUGCUUUCACAGUAGCUGUGAUAUGGUUUGGCUGUGUCCCCACCCACAUCUCAUCUUAAAACCCAGUGGGAGGUAAUUGAAUCAUGGGGGCAAGUCUUUCCUGUGCUGUUCUUGUGAUAGUGAAUAAGUCUCAUGAGAUCUGAUGGUUUUUAAAAGAGUUCUGGCUGGGCAUGGUGGUGGGCACCUGUAAUCCAAACUACUAGGGAGGCUGAGGCAGAGUGAAUUGCUUGAACCUGAUUUUUUGUAUUUUUAGUAGAGACGGUUUCACUAUGUUGGCCAGUGGAAGACAUUUCUAAGCAGCAAAGCAUUCAAGAGGUGGCUUGGGUGUUGUUAAAGGCAUUCUGUUUUGACUGGGUGCGGUGGUGCACACCUAUAAUCCCAGCACUUUGGGAGGCCGAGGAGGGUGGAUCAAGAGGUCAGGAGUUCAAGACCAGCCUGGCCAAUAUGGUGAAACCCUGUCUCUACUGGAAAUACAAAAAUUAGCUUGGCAUGGUGGUGUGCGCCUGUAGUCCCAGCUUCUCGGGAGGCUGAGGCAGGAGAAUCGCCUGGACCCGGGAGGUGGAGGUUCCAUUGAGCCAAGAUCAUGCCACUGACUCCAGCCUGGGCAACAGACUGAGACUCUGUCUCAAAAAAAAAGAAAAAAAAAAAGGCAUUCAGUUUUAUAAGGGAAGCAGAGCAUAAAAGUUUGGGAAAUUUGCAGCCUGACAAUGUGAUAGUAAAGAAAAUCCCAUUUUCUGAGAGGAAAUUCAAGCUGGCUGCAAAAAUUUGCAUAAGUACCAAGGAGCCGAAUGUUAAUAUCCAAGACAAUGGGGAAAAUAUCUCCCAGACAUGUCAGAGGUCUUCAUGGCAGCCCCUCCCAUCAACAGGUCCAGAGGCCUAGGAGGAAAAAGUGGUUUUGUGGGCAGCACCCAGGGUCCCCAUGCUAUGUGCAGCCUAGGGACUUGGUGCCGUGCGUCUCAGCUCCUCCAGUGGUGACUGAAAGGGGCCAACAUAGAGCUCGGGCUGCUGCUUCAUGGGGUGGAAGUCCCAAAUCUUGGCAGCUUCCAUGUGGUGUUGAGCCUGCGAGUACAUAGAAGUCAAGAAUUGGGGUUUGGGAACCUCCAUCUAGAUUUCAGAAGAUAUAUGGAAAUUCCUGGAUGCCCAGGCAGAAGUUUGCUGUAGGGGUGGGGCCUUCAUGGAGAACCUCUGCUAGAGCAGUGCAGAAGGGAAAUGUGGGGUCGGAGCCCCCACACAGAGUCCCCGCUGCGGCCCUGCCUGAUGGAGCUGUGAGAAGUGGACCACCGUUCUCCAGACCCCAGAAUGGUAGAUCCACCGACAGCUUGCACCGUGUGCCUGGAAAAGCUGCAGACACUCAAUGCCAGCCUAUGAAAGCAGCCUGGAGGGAGGCUUUACCCUGCAAAGCCACAGAAGUGGAGCUGCCCAAGACCAUGGGAAUCCACCUCUUGCAUCAGUGUGACCUGGAUGUGAGACAUGGAGUCAAAGGAUAUCAUUUUGAAGCUUUAAGAUUUGACUGCCCUGCUGGAUUUCAGACUUGCAUGGGUCCUGUAGCCCCUUUGUUUUGGCCAAUUUCUCCCAUUUGGAAUGGCUAUAUUUACCCAAUGCUUAUACCACCAUUCUAUCUAGGAAGUAAAUAACUUGCUUUUGAUUUUACAGGCUCAUAGGCAGAAGGGAUUUGCCUUGUCUCAGAUGAGACUUUGGACUGCGGACUUUUGAGUUAAUGCUGAAAUGAGUUAAGACUUCGGAGGACUAUUGGGAAGGCAUGAUUGGUUUUGAAAUGUGAGGACAUGAGAUUUGGGAGGGGCCAGGGGUGGAAGGAUACGGUUGGGUUCUGUGUCCCCACCCAAGUCUUAUCUUGUAGCUCCCAUAACCCAUGUGUCUUGGGAGGGACCUGGUAAUUCAAUCAUGUGGGCUGGAUGCGGUUGCUCAUGCCUGUAAUCCCAGCACUUUGGGAGGCCAAGGGGGAGAUCACUUGCGAUCAGGAGUUUGAGACCAGCCUGGCCAACAUGGUGAAACCCCAUCUAUACUAAAAAUACAAAAAUUAGCCAGGCACGGUGGUGGGCACCUGUAAUCUCAGCCUCCCGUGUAGCAGGCAUUGUCACAGGCGCCUGCCACCACACCCACCUAAUUUUUUUGUAUUUUUAGUAGAGACGGGGUUUCACCGUGUUAGCCAGGGUGGUAUCGAUCUCCUGACCUUGUGAUCCGCCCACCUUGGGCUCCCAAAGUGUUGAGAUUACAGGCGUAAGCCACUGCACCCGGCAAUAAACCUCUUUCUUUUGUAAAUUGCCCAGGUAUGUCUUUAUCAGCAGCAUGAAAAUGGACUCAUACAAUGAUCCAUUACCUAGGGUAAAAUUCUCCUGAAUGUCAAACAGAGAUAAACUACAUUUGGGUUUUGGGUAAGUCCCCUGUAAUGAUGAAUCAAGAAUCCUCAAGUCUGUCUUGCCACCCAUUUAAUACGUAUUUUUGUUAAGGCUGAAGUUUAGAGUUAGAAUCAGGACAUUUUGGCCUAUUGAGAGGUUCUGAAUUCCAACAGAAGAUGCCAUGUAAAUCAGUGAAUUUGAUUCUUUUAAAAGCAACUUACAAAAUUUACAAGAUGUAUUCAAUAAAGCAGUUUAGCUUUGGUAUAUCAAACCUUAUAAUGAACCAUUUUUCCCACUUCAUCUUAUGCAAUGUUUAAUAUUUUCUAUUUUUGUCAAGGAUAUUAAACCUACACCUGGAAACAUAUUAAAUGCCAACUUAAAAUGUGAGAAGUUUGGCAGAACUCAGACCCAUUCUUCCAAUUUCCAAGCUGUUUAAUCACACUGAUUCAGACACUCUGGAUAGCAGCUGGGAUUGUAGUUAUCUUUAUGCUUUGAGCUCUCUAGUUUUGUCUACACAUCUUAUAAAAUAUCCCCUCCUCAUUCUCCUCUAGCUGGAACACUAACCCAAUGGAUGUUGUGGUGAACUUUCUUUGACCAGGCAGAGAAGUGCAGCAUUGGGUGGACCAUGCACAACCAGUUUGAGAAGCACUGCUCUAGGGGUUGGGGGAGCAACAAUAGAAAGAGUGUAGGUUCUGAAUACCUGAAGCAUACAUUUUAGCUCUAGACUGCUUAUAUUGUUGUUACAUGAAAGAGAACUUUUAAUCUGGUUUAAACCACUGGAUCUCUUUAUUCCAGCAAGUGAAUCUAUAUCCAACUAAUAUUUACUCCCAGUCUGUUCUUUCUCACCCCUCUUUCCCUUACUAUAAACCUUUUCUAUAUCAAUUUAUAUCAUUAGUUGCUCAGCCCACAAACCAGAUGUCACUUUUGUUUUCUCUUUUCCUUCCCAUUCAUAGCCAGGCCAUCGUUGUGACUUAUUGGCUGUACCUCCAAAAUAUAUCCCAGAUCUGAUCUCUUCUUAUAAUUUGUACUGCUACAACCUUAGUCAAAGCCACUAAUAUCUCUUAUCUGAACUCCAGUGGUUUACUAGUUUUCUGCCUCUCUUCUUGACACAAUUCAUCUUUCUACAUAGCAGCCAGAGUAAGAUAAAAUCAUAAAUCAGAUCAUAUAACUUCUACCCCCUGUACCAAUGGCUAUCUUUUAUACUCAGAAUAAAAUCCAAAACCUUUAUUUGGCUUCCAAGAUCCUACAAGAUAGAGACCUUACUUCUCAUCUUGUACCCAUCAUUUGAUCUUCAGUCCCUUGAAAAUGCCAAGUCUAUUUCCAUUUCAGGGCCUUUGUGCUUGUUACUAUUGUUUCUUUUCUCUUGGAAAACUGCCCAGAUCUUUCCUUAGCUGAAUUAUUCAGAUCCCAACUCAAAUAUCAUCUCUUUAGAAAAUUCUUUCAGAACCAGGUGUGGUGGUGCACACCUGUAAUCUCAGCUACUCGAGUGGCUGAGGCUGAUGGAUUUCUUGAGCCCAGAAGUCUGAGGCCAGCCUGGGCAAUAUAGCAAGAUCCUGUCAAAAAGAAAAAGGUAUCUCACCAUGAUUAUAUUUUAAUUUCCCUUCAGCAAUUAGAAGUCCCUGAAAUUAAUUUACCUUAUUUGUUGGCAACCUCUGCCUCCUGGGUUCAAGCGAUUCUCCUGCCUCAGCCUCCUGAGUAGCUGGGAUUACAGGCGUGCACCACCACGCCUGGCUAAAUUUUGUAUUUUUAGUAGAGAUGGGGUUUUGCCGUGUUGGUCAGGCUGGUCUCGAACUCCUGACCUCUGAUCUGCCCACCUCGGCCUUCCAGAGUGCUGGGAUUACAGGCAUGAGCCACCAUGGGCCCACAAAGCUAUUUUACUUAGCAUUUUUUUUCCCGAGGCUAAAUUGGGAACUACUGACAAUACUAUUGACAAUACUAAAUAUAUUUUUAAAUUAUUUUACUUAUUUUUGAGACAGGGUCUCACUGUGUCACCCACGCUGUAGUGCAGUGAACCAUCACCACUCACUGCAGUCUCACCCUUCCUGAACUCAGGUGAUCCUCCCACCUCAGCCUCCUGAGUAGCUGGGACUACAGGCAUGCACCACCAUGCCUGGCUAAUUUUUAAAAUUUUUUGUAGAGAUGGAGUUUCGCCAUGUUGCCCAGGCUGGUCUCAAACUUCUGGGUUCAAGUGAUGCAAGUGUCUCAGCCUCCUAAAGUGCUAGGAUUACAGGCGUAAGCCACUAUGCCCAGCCUUUUAUUUUAUUUUAUUUUAUUUAUUUAUUUUUUGAGACAGAGUCUUGUUCUGUUGCCCAGGCUAGAGUGCAGUGGUGCAAUCUCAGCUCACUGCAACCUCUGCCUCCCAGGUUCAAGCGAUUAUCAUGUCUCAGCCUCCCUAGUAGCUGGGAUUACAAGUGUGCACCACACGCGGCUAAUUUUUGUAUUUUUUGUAGAGGCAGAGAGGCAGGGUUUUAUUAUGUUGGCCAAGCUGGUCUUGAACUCCUGGCCUCAAGUGAUCUGCUCACCCCGGCCUCCCAAAGUGCUGAGAUUACAGGUGUGAGCCACCAUGCCCACCAACCUAUUUUUUAUUUUAAAAAAUUGACAGCAUACUAAAUGUUUGUAAUGCAAAUGAUAAAAUUGCUACAAUGAAAACAAGAAGUUGAGAAUUAGAUGAAGAGUUGAUUAAGGGAACUAUGAGUCACUGUGUUAGAGCAUGUAUAUUAUGAAAAUUAUAGCAGAAGUGAUAAAGGGUGACAAUUGUUACCUAUCUUCAAUCAAAAGCUCUUUGAAUAUCUUUCUUUUUUUUAAUUUUAUGAAUUUUUUUUACAGAGACAGGGUCUCACUAUAUUGCCCAGGUUGGUCUCGAACUCCUGGGCUCAAGGGAUCCUCUUGCCUUGGCCUCACAAAGUACCUGGAUUACAGGCAUGAGCCACAGUGCCUGGCCCUCUUUGAAUAUCUUUAAUGCUUUUAGAGAUUAGCAUCAGAGAAUUAUUAAUACUAGAGGGCACAAGGAAUUAGCCAUUGCCAGUGGACACCUACAUAGGUGUGACUAUGUGACUCAGUUUUAAAAAUGUGACACAAUGAAAAAAUUCCUUGGAUGUUAUGGAGGACGAAAAUUUUGUAAGUCCUAUCCAUUCUUUAAUGGAGAAACUAAAAUUUACAAUAUUACUUUAUUUAGCCCAAGAUUUUCUUAAGCUUUGUAUUUUCUAAUUCAGCUUUGGCUUACAGAAUCAUGCUUGAAGUUUGAGACUGCCAGCUUUCAACAGGCAGUUACUAGUGAAACUCUUUGGAAAGAUGAGAAGAUGUUGACAUAAGUGUAAUGUGAGACAAAGCAAAGUAAAAUGUAAUUUUUAAGAAAAUGUUGCCGGGUGUGAUGGUGGCUCAUGUUGCUGUUGGUUGCUAUGGGAGUGAACGAAGGGGGACGAAUGCAGAAAUGAAGACAAAGACAAAAAGAGUAUUUUUGGAAGAAGGGGUCAGGGGACUCCUUGCUUCUAGUGGGCAAGGGCCCUGAGCUUCUACAGCCCUUCAUAUUUAUUAGGUAGAAAGAGCAGGGAGGGAGAGGUAACAGUUGGUCAGCUGCUUGAUUUAUCACAGGUACACAUAAUUGCUUCCUUUGUACAACAGGCUUCAGAUGUUACUAUAGAUAAUCACAAGGAACACUGCGCUUGGGGCAUGACUGCCCUCAGCAACCCUUCUGGCGGCAGACACAGUUGUUAGUUUUCCAACAUCCUGCUUUCAUGAGAACAGUUUUCUGUUUGCUCAUAUAGCCUUCAGUGGUAUACUGAGUUGGUCACGACCUUCAUUCUUUCGGCCUGUAACAUCUCCCCAUUUUUGUUUUUGCAUUAAUUGAAUAAAGGUAAUUGCAGGUUGUGCAGCUCUCAAUUGCCGUUUGGUGGUCCAGCUGAUUUUGCAGACUGUUAACAAAAAACAAAAAUAUAAUAACAUUAAUCCCAUAGUUACAAAAAAGACAUUGAGAUGCUAUUUGAAGUAGGUCCCAGGGUUAAGGCUGUCUAAACCUUGCUGGAAUUCUGCCCAAGCUUUUAAAGAGGGCUGAAACGCUUGAGUCUGCUUAUUCAAGUUAAGGAUUUUACUUUGUAAAUCAUUAAUAUCAAAAGUAACAUUGAAUGUGAAAGCUCCCUGUAAAUGGGCUUUUACAAGGCUCAAUGGAUAUUCACUUUGGUUAUAUACCAAAUUGGUCACACAAAUAUGAGUAUGAUUAAAAUGACAACGCAUUGCUGCUGCAACUGCAAACUUUGUACUUGUUCCCCUAGCCAUAGAACAGUAGUCUUUAACAUUGCCACCUCUGUUUGUAUUUCGGUGUUAAUUUUAUUUUGAAGCAUCCAUGCCUGGUCGACUGUGCAUGUCCAGUUUUCCACAUAUUGAGCUGUUUGAAUGGAGCUGUGCGUUGCUGCUGAGGACAACACAACAGAGGUUAUUAAUGUAACUAAGGAGACUAUAACAAAAAUUAUCAUGCCUAAGGCUCUAUGAGCACGAUGAGUAAGCGGAGUAAAAAGGAGUUUCAUAAGAUGUAAAGCGGGGGUGGCUGCCCAAGGCUAAGAUAAAUUUACAGGAAUUCAUAAUCCAGGAACAUGACCUAGAAUUGUUAGGGUGGAUAUGUCAUGUGUUUGUAUUGUGCUAUGAUUAAGGCAAUGAUACAGUUGACAGGAAUCACAAGUCAAUUGGGCAUCAUCUACCUGGAGGUGGGUUUUUUUUGCUGCUAAGAAAAUAUAAGGAUUAAAAACAAAUUGUAAAUUGAGUGGUAAUAUUUUCUACAAGGGUAACAUUAAAACUGUGUUUAGCACAAUUACUAUUAUUGGAUAGUGUCCCAAUCCAAAUGCUGCCAUUCAUAAAUGGGAGUGCUGCUUUCCAUAUUGACUCCUGAAUUGGACCUCUCUUUCCUUGAUAAUGCCAUUGAGGCAAAGGUGAGCUAAAGCAUGUGCUGUGUCAAGCAAUUUGGGCAGCAGAUUGAGAUUGAAUUGCAAUGUGAUGUAGUGGGAGAUGUUAAAGUUUUGCCACCAGUUCCAGCAAAGUUAAUGCCAUGAGGUCUGAUGCUCAUGUCUCCCAACCAAAUGACCAUGGGGACCCCAGUAAAUAAUGUCUCCCAUUAGCAUGGACUGUUGUCUAGCUAGGGAGCUAAGACACGGGGUCCAAGGAGGGGGGUUAGAAUUAUCAAAGGGAGCCCAUUCUAUAUAAUUAAUACAAUUUGGGUGAUGGGGCCGGGAGUGAUUAGUAACUACACCAGUAAUAUUAGUAGAACUAAGGCCCAAUAGGUACGUAAAUUUUCCAUGGUAACUCAACCAUGCCUGGGAUUGAAUUGCAAGGCAACUGCAGUUGAGCAGUGUAUCCUGGGUGAUGCAUAAAGAAAGGCCCUCCAAUGGAGUGGUAUAAUUGAUACCAUUGUUCUGAGAGUCUAAUUGCUCUGUGUCAGGGGGAGUUAAGGGUCCCGGUGCCCAUGCUCCUUGAUCAUGAUAUAUCUCAGGAGGAGUGUCACCCCGGUCAUACUACCGGGGGGUUAGGAACAUAAGCCCAAUAUGUUUUUGCCUCUGCACAGGGAAAACAUAGCACACAGGAUAUCAUAGCUAGCAUGGCCAUAAACAUGGAGUCAGGGGUUUUUGCCUGACCCUGAUGCUCCAGCAGUUUCUCAUCUUCUUGUGUGGUUUUCUUGAUCUGUAAAACACAAGCAUACCCUCAUCCCCAUGUCAGUAAAUCUACCAGGCCUUUCCAUUGUCCUUCUUCCAGGGAUUUCCAUAAUACUUUUGGGUAAACUUUCCUUUUUCCCUCUAACAUUUGCCAGUGUCAUUCUACCGGAGUCUUAUUAUCUGUACCAGGAGUUAAAAAAUUUAAAGUAAAUAAUGCUAAAUGUAGUAUUGUUUGAGGUGGUAACUGGUCUCCUAUACCUCCUUUUUGUUUUUUCAGCGCAUGUUGUAAUGUUUGAUGUGCCUGCUCUAUAAUUCCUUGUCCUCGAGGGUUAUAAGGAAUUCUUGUUUUGUGAGUGACUGCCUAUAACUGUAAACAAUUUUGAAAAGCAUGACUAACUUAAGCAGGUCCAUUGUCAGUUUUUAAUUGUUUAGGGACCCUCAUAUCGGCAAAUGACAACAGACAAUGUCAUUGGACAUGGCCAGCUGUUUCACCUGUUUGACAUGUAGCAUGCAGCAUAUGAGAAUAAGUGUCUAUAGUCAUAUGAACAUAGCUAAGUUUGUCAAAGGCUGCUAUAUGUGUAACAUCAAUUUGCCAGAUUUCAUUUGGAGCUAAGCCUCGUGGGUUACAUCCUUCUACCGGUAUAACACCAGGGACAUGCUGACAAGUGGGGCAGGCUUGCACAAUAGCUCGAGCCUGGCUUCGAGGCAGAUGAAACAUACAAGUAAGGGCAGAGGUGUUUUGAUGCAGUAAUGCAUGAGAGGCUUCAGCUUGCUGAAACACAGAACCAAUCAAUUUAUCUGCUCUAUCAUUACCUAGAGGUAGUGGUCCAGGAAGUUGUGUGUCAGAGCGAAUAUGAGAAAUUUGAAAAGGAGCAGCAUGAGAGCAAACAGCUCGCUGAAGUCUUAGAAACAAGUUAAACAGCUCUGGUUCUAGGGUGCUUUUAAUAGUAGCAGUCUCAAUGCGACUGGCUACAUUUACAACAUAGGCUAAAUCACAGACAAUAUUAAUAGGAGAGGAAGCAGUGAGCUGUAAAACCUGAAUAACUGCCAUUAAUUCUGAGCAUUGAGCUGAAACACCAGGGAUUUUUAUUGUUUUAAUAUGCUUAGGUCCAUAAAUAGAUGCUCAGACUUUGGAAGAGCCGUCAGUGAAAUAAGUCUGGCCACCUGGAAUAGGCUUGUGAUGAGUAAUCACAGGGAGGAUAAAAGGGUAAACUUUAUAAAAUUGCAAAACUUUGUCUGAUGGAUAAUGAUUAUCUAUUAUUCCUUUGCUUCAGCCAACAUCGUAGAGCGAUGAAGCUCAGUUCCCACAUCCUGACAAGCUUUGAUAAAAUUUCCUAAGCUUUUUAUACAUCUCACAGAUGCCAAUGCAUGUUUACAGUCCGUGUUUGCAUUCUCAAAAGCUAGUUAAGGUUAGCAUUUCUGUAGCCAUGGUAAGAGAAAUCUGACACUUCACUGCCUAUGGUAAUCUUGCAAGAAAAUGUGCAUAGAGCUCCUGUGACCCUUUCAUGAUAUGUAAGAGAUUGUACUGGGACCCUUUCCUCUGGAAUUGUGGCCCAGGUGCGUUUAACAGCCAAGGCACACUGCUUACAAGCAGCGUCUGGGAGUGCUAUUUGAUGUUCUAGGUCUGAAUAGGGGCCACUGCCUAACAGCAUCCUCUGUAAUGUCUCUGUGUCCAGCAGCACGAUUCUAUCUAGCCUGGUCUGCACACAGUUCUUGCCAAUUUAAAUACCAUAUCAGGUAUGCACUAGCAGACAAACAAGUGCAAGCCAAAUGCUUUACAUCAAAGGGUGGAAGGCGCAUAGCGCCAAAUAGAUUCUAGCAGUCCUAAAGUAAAUGGGCUUUGUAUUCCAUUAUUAACUACACUAGCUUUUAAUUCCUUCAGCAACUUAAAUUCUAGUGGGGUGUGUUCAUGAAUAAACUGCUGUGGAUUAUGUGGAUCAGGCCUUACGGAAAUAGGAAAAGCUCAAGGUCCUAAGGGUUCUCCAGCCAUAGCAGUAGAGUGUAAAGUUCUUUGUAUUGGGGUCUCUAUUUCUGCUACUGAAGGAGGCGGUUCAGAUGUUUCUGCUACUAGAGGGGGUGACACAGGCCAAUUUUCAUCCUCCUGCUCCUGUUUAUUAUUUUUAAUUGGCGCUGUUGAGAGAACAGAAAGAUUCUUUCAAAUUUUUUGACUCUGAACAUGACUCCUGCUGUCUAGCAGAAUAAGAAAUGAAUAAUGGCAGGAUGAACUAAACUCCAAAUAUAAAAAAGAAAAUAGCCAAAUUCUUCCCCCAUGUUACCCUGAUUCAGAAACUUCCCGUUCCCAGUACCUCUUUAGGGCACUGACCUUAUAUUAGCUGUCAGCAGACUCGUCGCAGGGUUUCUCAUUCUCGUUCUUCUUGUCAGUGUCAGUUUCUCUGCUCCAGCAGACCUUCACUCACGUCCCUGUCCUAGGUGCCAGUUGUCGCUGUUGGUUGUUAUGGGAGUGAACGAAGGGGGAUGAAUGCAGAAACGAAGACAAAGACAAAAAGUAUUUUUGGAAGAAGGGGUCAGGGGGCUCCUUCUAGUGAGCAAGGGCCCUGAGCUUCUACAGCCCUUCGUAUUUAUUAGGUAGAAAGAGCAGGGAGGGAGAGGUAGCAGUUGGUCAGUUGCUUGAUUUAUCACAGGUAUACAUAAUUGCUUUCUUUGUACAACAGGCUUCAGAUGUUCCUAUAGAUAAUCACAAGGAACACUGUGCUUGGGGUGUGACUGCCCUCAGCAACCCUUCUGGCAGCAGACACAGUUGUUAGUUUUCCAACAUCCUGCUUUCAUGAGAACAGUUUUCUAUUUGCUCAUAUAGCCUCCAGUGGUAUACUGAGUUGGUCACGACCCUCAUUCUUUCGGCCUGUAACAGGCUCAUGCCUGUAAUGCCAGCACUUUUGGAGGCCGAGGCAAGAGGAUAGCUUGAGCUCAGGAGUUGGAGACCAGCCUGGGCAACACGGUGAAACCCCAUCUCUGCAAAAAUUAGCCUGGUGUGGUGGGGUGCGCCUGUAGUCUCAGCUGCUUGUGGGGCUGAGGCGGGAGAAUAGCUUGAGCUCCAGGGGUCGAGGCUGCAGUGAGCCAUAAUGGUGCUGCUGCAUUCCAGCCUGGGUGACAAAGUGAGACUAUCUCAAAAAAAAAAACGGCUGUUAGAUAAAAAUGAAGACAAACAACAUUUGCAAGGAUAUAAAUCUUAACCCAUUUAUUGGGGGUAUAGGCUCUGGUGUCAGAUUUCCAUCUGUCCUGUAUUUUGUAACCACAAAAUUGUCCUGGCUGGAUUAAUUGUAAGGAAGUCCCUUUAAACACAUCUAGACUUCCAAAGUUUGUUUACAUACUAAUUAGUUGUCAUGAAAAGCUGCAUUCAACCCAGGGUCUGAGAUGCCUUUUGUAUAUGAAAAGUGCUUCUCUUUCUGACACUGACUGAAUUACAUACAUAACAGAUUCAUUUAUUUAAAAACAAUUUAAGAGGCUUUUUCUAUAAUGCUGAACCUGCUGUGUGGUAUUUAUGUUUAAUUCUGGUCAAAUUUUCAAAACUAAUAAACACUGCAAUUCAAAACCAUUAAUUAUCAAGCAUAGACCAAGUAUCUGAGGUUAUGAGCACAUAUUUAAGAGGUUAGACUCUGGCAUUCCAGACAUUGCAAAUAAUACUUUUCUCAUUUCUAAAUUUCCUAGAAACAAGUGGAGAUUUGUAAAAGGAAAUAAUACUCUUUAAAACAUUUAUUUUUGACUCAGGAUCUGGCUCUGUUGCCCUAGCUAGAGUGCAGUGGUGCCAUCAUCACAGCUCACACAAUAGCCUGGAACUACUGGGCUCAAACCAUCCUCCCACCUCAGCCUCCCAAGUAGCUGGGACUGCAGAUGCAGGCCAUCAUGUCCCGCUAAGUUUUAUUUUAUUUUUGUAGAGACAGAGUCUAUGUUGCUCAGGCUGGUCCUGAACUCCCGGCAUCAAGUGAUCCUCCCACCUCCCAAUAAAACAUGUACUGAUGGCCAGGCACUUGGCUCACGCCUGUAAUCCCAGCACUUUGGGAGGCCGAGGCGGGCAGAUCAUGAGGUCAAGAGAUCAAGACCAUUCUGGCCAACAUGGUGAAACCCUGUCUCUACUAAAAAUACAAAAAUUAGCCAGGUGUGGUGGCACGCGCCGGUAGUCUCAGCUACUCCGGAGGCCGAGGCAGGAUAAUUGCUUGAACCCCAGAGGCGGAGGUUGCAGUGAGCCGAGAUCGUGCCACUGCACUCCAGCCUGGCGACAGAGCAAGACUCUGUCUCAAAAAAAAAAAAAAAACCAAAAACCAAAAAAUCAAAACCAAAACCAUGUAUUGAUAUCAAAGUUUUUUUAUCCUGGCAGGGCACAGUGGCUCACGCCUGUAAUCCCAGCACUUUGGGAGGCUGAGGCAGGUGGAUCACGAGGUCAGGAGUUCAAGACCAGCCUGGCCAAGAUGGUGAAGACCCGUCUCUACUAAAAAUACAAAAAUUAGCCAGGCGCAGUGGCAGGCGCCUGUAAUCCCAGCUACUCGGGAGGCUGAGGCAGGAGAAUCGUUUGAAACCAGGAGGGUAGAGGUUGCAGUGAGCCAAGAUUGUGCCACUGUACUCCAGCCUGGGUGACAGAGUGAUACUAUGUCUCAAAAAAAAAAAAAAAAAAAAAAGAAAAAGAAAAAAGAAAGAAAGUUGCUUUAUCUUUAAAACUAUAUAUAUUGUUUUCACCCCUACAUAGUCCUUGCCUCCCAGACAUCUCCUCACUAACGUCAGUAGACAAUUUGGCAUCUGAUGGUUUGAAAUAGUUUCUGUAAUCAAAUCCUGAAUAAAAUCCAUUUUAAAGC